rnacentral:rRNA from 1 species
CCUACGGGUGGCUGCAGUGAGGAAUAUUGGUCAAUGGGCGUAAGCCUGACCCAGCCAAGUCGCGUGAGGGAUGAAGGUUCUAUGGAUCGUAAACCUCUUUUAUAAGGGAAUACAGUGUGGGACGUGUCCUAUUUUGUAUGUACCUUAUGACUAAGGAUCGGCUACCUCCGUGCCAGCCGCCGCGGUAAUACGGCGGAUCCGAGCUUUAUCCGGCUGUAUUGGGUUUAAAGGGAGCGUAGGCGGCCUUUUAAGUCAGCGGUGAACGUCUGUGGCUCAACCAUAGAAUUGCCGUUGAAACUGGGGGGCUUGAGUAUGUUUGAGGCAGGCGGAAUGCGUGGUGUAGCGGUGAAAUGCUUAGAUAUCACGCAGAACCCCGAUUGCGAAGGCAGCCUGCCAAGCCAUGACUGACGCUGAUGCACGAAAGCGUGGGGAUCAAACAGGAUUAGAUACCCCUGUAGUC